AGUGAACGCUGGCGGUAGGCCUAACACAUGCAAGUCGAACGGCAGCACAGGAGAGCUUGCUCUCUGGGUGGCGAGUGGCGGACGGGUGAGGAAUACAUCGGAAUCUACUCUGUCGUGGGGGAUAACGUAGGGAAACUUACGCUAAUACCGCAUACGACCUACGGGUGAAAGCAGGGGACCUUCGGGCCUUGCGCGAUUGAAUGAGCCGAUGUCGGAGUAGCUAGUUGGCGGGGUAAAGGCCCACCAAGGCGACGAUCCGUAGCGGGUCUGAGAGGAUGAUCAGCCACACUGGAACUGAGGCACGGUCCAGACUCCUACGGGAGGCAGCAGUGGGGAAUAUUGGACAAUGGGCGCAAGCCUGAUCCAGCCAUACCGCGUGGGUGAAGAAGGCCUUCGGGUUGUAAAGCCCUUUUGUUGGGAAAGAAAUCCAGCUGGCUAAUACCCGGUUGGGAUGACGGUACCCAAAGAAUAAGCACCGGCUAACCUCGUGCCAGCCGCCGCGGUAA
rnacentral:rRNA from 1 species